rnacentral:lncRNA from 1 species
CGCAAGAUCCUGCUGGUGAUCCAACAGAUGGGAACCCAACAGACACAAACACAUCAGGUGAUUAUAGUCAUAUGCUUGCGAACUUGUCAGAUUUAUUUGCUUACUUGCAUUGCUAAAAGUGCACUUCUAUUUGGAGAUGCCUAAGAAAAUGACUGGCAAAUAAAAUAGGAAUCCAAACUUGCAAAAUUCUCUUUUACAGACUGCUAGUACUAUUGGGACUCUAGGUACAAGGCACAAUGUAAUUGCUCCAAAUACGCUCAUACAAGUUGCAACAAUGAAUUCUCAAAUGUUU